UGUACCCUGUACCGAGGAGCAUCCCAAUCUGUGACAGAAACAUUUUAUUCUAUAAACGAUGCUGGUUCUCAAAGCUACUUCUGGAACGUACUGCAGCACCAAAUUUCUCUCUUAAGGAAAUGAUUGGUUCCAUUGGAAAGUGCCAUAGUCUCAUCUAAUUUUCCUGAUCACCUUAUGCCCAAUGUGGAGGAAGACGAAAGAAAAGAGAGAAAACAAAUGAGAAUCUAAGAUGCUAUUGAUUGGGGCAAAGAAUAAUGGGAGAAGAAUAGAUGGGUCCUAAGUAACAAAGGAAAGCCAACUUAUGAUUUAAAG